GCAGUAGCCACGGGAAUACGUAGGGUGCAAGCGUUAAUCGGAAUUACUGGGCGUAAAGCGUGCGCAGGCGGUUUGUUAAGACAGAUGUGAAAUCCCCGGGCUCAACCUGGGAACUGCAUUUGUGACUGGCAAGCUAGAGUAUGGCAGAGGGGGGUGGAAUUCCGCGUGUAGCAGUGAAAUGCGUAGAUAUGCGGAGGAACACCGAUGGCGAAGGCAGCCCCCUGGGCCAAUACUGACGCUCAUGCACGAAAGCGUGGGGAGCAAACAGGAUUAGAUACCCCUGUAGUCCCUGUCUCUUAUAC
rnacentral:rRNA from 1 species